UACGAAGGGGGCUAGCGUUGCUCGGAAUCACUGGGCGUAAAGGGUGCGUAGGCGGGUCUUUAAGUCAGGGGGGAAAUCCUGGAGCUCAACUCCAGAACUGCCUUUGAUACUGAGGAUCUUGAGUCCGGGAGAGGUGAGUGGAACUGCGAGUGUAGAGGUGAAAUUCGUAGAUAUUCGCAAGAACACCAGUGGCGAAGGCGGCUCACUGGCCCGGUAGUGACGCUGAGGCACGAAAGCGUGGGGAGCAAACAGG
rnacentral:rRNA from 1 species